rnacentral:rRNA from 1 species
CCUACGGGUGGCUGCAGUGGGGAAUAUUGCGCAAUGGGCGAAAGCCUGACGCAGCGACGCCGCGUGAGGGAUGAAGCUCUUCGGACCGUAAACCUCUGUCAGCAGGGAAGAACGGUCACUGUGCUAAUCAGCAGGGAAUUGCCGGUACCUGCAAAGGAAGCACCGGCUAACUCCGUGCCAGCAGCCGCGGUAAUACGGAGGGUUCGGGCGUUAAUCGGAAUUACUGGGCGUAAAGCGCUCGUAGGCGGUAUGUCAAGUCAAGGGUGAACUCCCCGCGUUAAACGUGGGAACUGCCUUUGAAACUGGCAAACUGGAGUGUGUGAGAGGAUAGUGGAAUGCCAGGUGUAGGAGUGAAAUCCGUAGAUAUCAGGAGGAACAUCAGUGGCGAAGGCGACUAUCUGGCACGUAACUGACGCUGAGGAGCGAAAGCGUGGGUAGCAAACAGGAUUAGAUACCCGGGUAGUC